UCAAGAAACUUCCACAAUGGGCGAAAGCCUGAUGGAGCGACGUCGCGUGAUGGACGAAGUGCUUCGGCACGUAAACAUCUUUUAUGUGGGAUGAAAUUAUUGACAGUACCACAUGAAUAAGGGGCUCCUAACUCUGUGCCAGCAGGAGCGGUAAUACAGAGGCCCCAAGCGUUAUCCGGAAUCACUGGGCGUAAAGGGUGUCGAGGCGGUUGUAUUAGUCGUUCGUAAAAUCUACGAGCUUAACUUGUAGGCGGCGAACGAAACGGUACGACUUGAGGUUUGGAGAGGUGCGUGGAACUCACGGUGUAGGGGUGAAAUCCGUUGAUAUCGUGGGGAACACCAAAGGCGAAGGCAGCGCACUGGCCAAAAUCUGACGCUCACACACGAAAGCUAGGGUAGCGAAGAGGAUUAGAUACCCCUAGUAGUCCCUGAGCGGGCUGGCAAGGCGCAU
rnacentral:rRNA from 1 species